GCCGGGUUGGUGAAACAGGCAGACACAGCGGGUUCAAAACCCGCCGCCUUCAAAAGCGUAUGGGUUCAAAUCCCAUACCCGGCACCA
rnacentral:tRNA from 1 species